CAAACGCCAUUAACACUCCUGUACUUUCCCUCUUGUCUCUCUAUUACCUUGCAGCCUAGGGUUCCGAGACUCUGCCGGCGGACGACGGCGAACUCGCGCCCCUUCCAAUGGAGAGCAUGGGCGACCUCGCCUCCGCGCUCGACACCACUUCGAGCUCCGAUCCGGCCUCUAAGAGCGGCGGCGGUGGAGGGUCCUCCGAUGCGGCCCGGAUCGCGGAGGUGAAGGCGUGGCUGGCGUCGCAGUUCGAGUUGGCUGGGAGGGAGGUGCCGGAGUUCGAGUACACACCGCGCAGCGUCGCCCAUCUCCACGCCCUUGCCUCUCUCUCCCAGGCCCGAACCCGCGCCGCCUCCAUCGUCGCCGCCGACCUCCGCCUCAAGGCCUCCGAGUACCGCGCCCAGGCAGCCCGGAUCCGGGAGAUCCUGGAGCGCGUUGGCCUCGCCCAGGAGCAGCUCUCACCCAGCGCGAUCGCCUCCGCGCAGGUCGUCGCCAACGUCGCCAACCUUCUCAACAUCAGAGACACCGAGAUGAGCAGUUUUGUGGUGGCUAUGGGGGAUCUGUCGCUGAGGAAGGAGGAUGUGGAGGAGAAGAGGGCGAAGGUGCAGAAAGAGUCGAAAAUCCUUCUUGAAUACACUCGAAGAGCCAUUGCGAAACUGAACGAUCUUAAAAAAACUCUUGCUAAAUUUGAAAAUGAAGUCGCCAUGCAUGAGGCUCAGAUGCUUCAGUGGCAGAAGAACUUGGCCAUCUUGGAUUCAAAAGAGCGACAGUACAUGCUUCAGCUCUCCAAUUAUAAGGCCAUACUAAAUCGUGUGGGCUACACUGCAGAGAUCAAUCAUGGUGUGCUGAUGGAAAUGGCAGAGCAUAGGAAGGAGUUAGAGAAGAAAACAAAGCCCAUUUUGGAUACCUUGAGGAGCUAUCAAGACUUGCCACCCGAUAAAGCUCUUGCUGCAUUAGCAAUUGAGGAUAAAAAAAGGCAAUAUGCAGCUGCAGAGAAGUAUCUUGAAGAAGUGCUGCAUUCUGCACUAACCACGCCUGAAUUAUGACGUUUUUGUGAGAAAGGAUAAAACUUACAUUGGAAUUGUAAUCCUGGAGCAUCUCACCAUCUAAGAUCAAUCAAGAAGUGGAUCUCAGCAGGAUGCUGAACUGUUAUGAAGGCUGCAGCAUUCUCAGUAGGUGCCUCCCAGAUGCUCAGGGCUUACCUUCAGUUACCAUAGAUUGUGCGGCUAUUUGUUGAGAAUGGGUCAUGCCCGUGGAGAUGUGUAUGUAGAAUUAUGAUGUAACCAAAAUAUCAUUUUCUGUUCGACCAUUUUUUUUUUUCAUUGAUUGCAAUGAUGUAAGUAGCUUUUUAUGUGGAGUAGAAUGCCCUUGAUGCCUGUUUUCACCCUCAAGCUUGAAUUUACCUUUUAACAUAUACUAGUAGAUGCAUGUAUGAUCUAUUCUUUCUGUUAAACAUUUUACACCACUUUCAUGUGACAAAUAUUGUCUGCAUUUUCUUUGCAAAAAUAUGACAAAUACCCUUUUUUUUUCCCCUCUCUCUUUGACAAUUAGAAAGGUAUUCUAACUAAAGGCAAUAAAUAAGAGGAAAAACACCAGUUGAUGAACCUAGAUUAGCUGCAGCUGUUCUUUGUUCAGUUCAUUGUGGGUAAGAAGUUUAGUUCUGAUUUUCACCUCAGUGCAUCUCACCUUCAUGUUUUGUUUGUGAACAAUAAAGAUCCUGUGUUGAUUAGUAACUAUCAUCAAUUAUUGUCUGGAUAUGUGUCAUAUGACGCUAUGCUGAUGUUUAAAUCUUACUGUGGCAUUACAUGAAGAAGAGGAUCAUACACUUUGCUGUCUGGGUAUAAGAAUUUUUUUUUUUUUAAACUCUAUGAAUAUGUGAUAGAAGAUUUAACGGAGAAGAUGCUUGAAAUUGAUUUUUGUUUAUCUGUUUUGAAACCGUGGAACACUCUGGUGGUAGGCCUGGAGGGAAUGUCUUUAGACCGGUGCAAUAGUUUGUAAAUCAUGUAGUUCUUCUGUACCCAGCUCAUCCUCUCUUGGCUUGUAGAGUCCAGAUCUUGUUUCAACCAGGCAUUGUUUGACGAAUUGGAAGUAGAUUUUGUCGAACUGCAGCUAGAGCUACCGGAGGUCCAGACACAAGCAUUCUGUACGAGGUUGUGAAGGGGGGCUUGGCUCCAGUCGGUUUUCACAAGCCCGCCCCUUGUUGCCCAGUCUUCAGCGUCCCAAAAGCUAGGAUGGAUCCUGAUUGGUUGAUUCUUUGGAAACGCCACACCCUUUGACUCCAGAUUCUUGAAAUUUCUUAUCGGUAUGCCAUCGACAGUGAAGCUUGGAAGCAAGCCAUGUUGGGCAUUCAAGUGUAUAUAUUCUUAAAGGACCGCAGUGAGCGGUUCUUGUAUACAAAAAAUUCACGCACGUACUAACAGAAUAUUUAGAUAUUUAGGAUUCACAUGUCUGAUGUCUGGGGUUUCAGAGAACGGAAUAGGUGUGAAAGUCUUUAGUGGGGUCAAACCAGUGGUGGGACUGCUGCUUCCUCUUCCCCUUUCCCUGGACGAAGAUGUUGGUGUAUGGAGUAGGGAUCACAGCCAAGGUUUUCCAAGGAACUCAAAGCCGAUCUCAUCGUUGUUGGGCUCCUAAGAAGAUAGCUGCAUACAUAGAUCGACUCAUCAGCAACCAGAAAUCUCCACCGAAGUCGAAACAAGAAGAUAAUUUUAGGAGGCAUUAUGACAUUACGUGGUAGGCAGCGACGGUGCCGGCCGAAUCACCAGGAUCGAGCUUGAGCUGCAUUUCGAUCCUUCCGAAGAGGUGGUACUCAUGCUUGGAUUGGAAUCCAGAUCCUGAGGCCUUGUCCAGAGACAGUGAAAGGAGCUGCCUAUUGUCAGGUACUUUGGCACGGCCACUGCCCCAGAUGAUGUCGAAGUCCUGGCUGAAAUUGCCAGCAAAAGCACUGGCUAUCAGAUAGCAUCCUGAUAGAGGAAUCAGUAGAGCCAUGAUAGCACUGGAAGGAGGAGCUGCAAAGACACAACAUGAUCAGAGACACCAAAUGACAAGUUACAGGAAGGAUGACUUUAUCAGGUAUUUUUAUUUUCAAUUUUGAACGCAGUACUGGUGUAUUUGUGGAUCUUCAUGACAAAUGAGUGAAAGCCAGAGGCCAAAAGGAUAAUUACAUUUA